rnacentral:rRNA from 1 species
GACGAACGCUGGCGGCGUGCUUAACACAUGCAAGUCGAACGGAAAGGCCCUGCUUUUGUGGGGUGCUCGAGUGGCGAACGGGUGAGUAACACGUGAGUAACCUGCCCUUGACUUUGGGAUAACUUCAGGAAACUGGGGCUAAUACCGGAUAGGAGCUCCUGCUGCAUGGUGGGGGUUGGAUAGUUUCGGCGGUUGGGGAUGGACUCGCGGCUUAUCAGCUUGUUGGUGGGGUAGUGGCUUACCAAGGCUUUGACGGGUAGCCGGCCUGAGAGGGUGACCGGCCACAAUGGGACUGAGAUACGGCCCAGACUGGUACGGGAGGCAGCAGUGGGGAAUAUUGCAAAAUGGGCGGAAGCCUGAUGCAGCAAAGCCGCGUGCGGGAUGACGGCCUUCGGGUUGUAAACCGCUUUCGAAUGUGACGAAGCGUGAGUGACGGUAAUGGGUAAAGAAGCACCGGCUAACUACGUG